GAGAAAAUACUAACAUGGCAGCGUAUGAAAUCUUAACUGAAAAGACUAGGGACUUAAUGAAAGGCAGUCACGUAACAAUAGUAAGGUUGUAUUGCUGCAUCCAGUGAAAGAUAACUUUUAUUUUCUAGGGUUUUGUUUGUUUGGACAGCAAGGAUUCUUUGUCUGUUUUAUUAGCCUGGAGUAUAACUGACAUCAGGAGCCCCGCUAGCUAUUCAUCCGGAAGCCAGAUGUUGAUAAGGAAAAAGCAAAAAAAGCAAAUUAGCACAUGUGCUCCCUUAGACUGCGUGGAUACCCCAGGACCGAAAGAUUCACCAAGCAGUUUUGAAACUUAAAGGAAUUCUGAAAAUCCUUCAUUCUCAGAGAUCAAAAGCUACUGUAAACCUGGCUGCUGUUUGGGUCCCAACAAUUGACAUGAGAUGGAAAUGGAGCUAUGAAAGUGUCUGAGAAAUAUCAGUAUACUGAAAAAAACAAACCCCAAAGCAAACCUGGAGCAGUUCUUCUAAUUGAAGGCUACUUCAAACACUUGUCUCUAAAGGUGCUGCGCUGUUGUGCCUGAUCCAUCGCCUUCCCUGGUUUCCAGAAACUGCUCCAGUAGCAGAAACAGUUGACUUGCAAAGAAAACCCUGUACCUGACCAACUAAAGAGCUGAGGGCUCCAGAGCAUCUGGUUCUUUGGAUGGAUGGACACACAGAUGGAGAAGUUCUGAGUGACUGAACAUUACUGAGGUUAUUCAGCAAGCUGGCACAAAUUUGUUUCUCCUCUAGGAAGCCUGCAGUAGAGCCACAGGCCAUUACAACUGAAAACCUGGAACUAAAAGGACAGAAGCUGGCAGCUGAUGCGUACCCAGCUUCAAGGCCUUCUCUGUUUCUCAUGCUGCUCCACCAACGAGUAGGCUGGGGGUGCACAAGGAGAUGGGGGGUGAAACAGCCAAGGCAGCUGACCCCAACUGACCUAAGGGAUAUCCCAUCCCACACCACAUCGUGCUCAGCAAUAAAAGUCUGAGAACAGUGGUUUGGGAAGUCUCACCUGAUCUGUCUGAAAAUGCCAUCGCAAGGAUCCUUGUGACAAACUUCUGUUGCCUCCCGGACAGCGACCAACCAUCCUGCUAAAGAGAUUUGAUUCCAUCAUGCUUCAAGAAUCCUCAUCACACUUUUCUGAAGUUGAUGUUUAUUUCAUUCAGGAGGCACCUGGAACACAGUUAAUGGAGAGCAGCAGACCUUUCACCUUCAAGCUGCUCUGCCCCGUUCUUUCUGCGGGAAGCUGAGGUGAUGGUGCCUUUUACUUGGAGAGGAGCUUCUGUGCCUGAAACUUGAAGGGGCUGCUGUAAUACAACACUGAAGACUUUGUUGCUUUGCUGCCAGAACGGAGAAACAGAUGUGGUGUCAAAGGCUGCCGCUGCCUCGCUUCUCUGGUGGAGCAGAACCUCUCCCCGCAGGAUCAUUUCAUGUCCAGUGUUUUUGGUCUUCUGUCUUUUCUGAGACAGGAAAUGGCAGUAAUUGUAACAAGGGCUGUUAUGAGAAGAUAUAUUUGACUGGCCAAAAUCAUCCACGGUUAUACGAUAAAGACGAAGACCUCUUCAAUUAAAAAAAGAAAAAAAAUCAGAUGUAGUUUGGGUUUAAAAUUGUGGCUGAAGUUGAGAAGGUUCUCCAUUAUUAGUUCAAGUGGUCCAUUCACAUCUCAUAGGGUACUUUAUAUAGAAGUGCAAAAAAAAAAAAACAAAACUACUGCGUUGUCUCCGAGGUCACUCUUCCUGUUGAUUACCUCCCUUCUAGUUGCAUUUGUUUCAAAACUCAUAGGAUGCAAAUUCAAGGGUGGCAGAGCAUUUUGCUUGUAGGUGUGGUUUGCAGUAAGACUUGUGAUCGCAGAACUUGCUAUAUUUGAGGCCGUUGUGUAGAUCAUUUCAGUCCUGAGGCUGGUUUGGAGAUGUCAGUGCUGCACAGAGCUGCCAUCACCUCUCCUAAAUUGCUUUUUCUUUUUCUUUUUUUUUUUCCUCUUUUUUUCCCCUCCCUGUGUUUUGCAGUUGAGAAUCAAAGGAAUCCCAGCUGUAUUUCCUGAACUAUUUGCUGUAGUGGAAAUGAGGGGCACAGAAGAGAAUUUGUUUUAUGCCUCCCAAGGACUCCUGAAAUUGUUCCUUACGUGCAGUUUUCUGCCUGCCUUGUGUUGUCCAAGCAGUUGCAACUGACCGUUGAUCCUCAAUUCCUGCAUGGGGAGUUUUUAAGAUGAAUGCCUUAGAAAUCAUGACUGGAAAAGCAGAAGUUUCUAGG